UUGGUGCCUUCGGGAACUCUGACACAGGUGCUGCAUGGCUGUCGUCAGCUCGUGUCGUGAGAUGUUGGGUUAAGUCCGUAACGAGCGCAACCCUUGUCCUUAGUUACCAGCACGUUAUGGUGGGCACUCUAAGGAGACUGCCGGUGACAAACCGGAGGAAGGUGGGGAUGACGUCAAGUCAUCAUGACCCUUACGGCCUGGGCUACACACGUGCUACAAUGGUCGGUACAAAGGGUUGCCAAGCCGCGAGGUGGAGCUAAUCCCAUAAAACCGAUCGUAGUCCGGAUCGCAGUCCGCAACUCGACUGCGUGAAGUCGGAAUCGCUAGUAAUCGUGAAUCAGAAUGUCACGGUGAAUACGUUCCCGGGCCUU
rnacentral:rRNA from 1 species